rnacentral:rRNA from 1 species
UCCCUCAGUAAUGGCGAAUGAACAGGGAUGAGCUCAGUAUGGAAAUUGGGGCCUGUGGCCUUGAAUUGUAGUCUGGAGAUGUACCACCAACUGGGGCGCAGAUGUAAGCCUCUUGGAAAAGAGCAUCAAUGAGGGUGAGAGUCCCGCAUGGCAUCUGCAGUCCCCAGUGCACGGUGUACCUUCUAAGAGUCACGUUCCUCGGGAUUGGAGCGCAAAUCGGGUGGUAAAUUUCAUCUAAAGCUAAAUAUAGUUUCGAGACCGAUAGCAAACAAGUACCAUGAGGGAAAGGUGAAAAGGACUUUGAAAAGAGAGUUAAAAGUGCCUGAAAUUGCUGAAAGGGAAGCGAAUGGAACCAGCGAAACUUGGCAAGAUUGCUGUGUGUCAAUGUGAUUGCUUGCUGCUGCAACGUAAGUGUGGUAGUAAGUCUUGAGCAGGACAUGCUCGGUGUUUCUUGCCUUGUGUGUCACCUGUGGUUCGUGAUUGAGGAAAACUUCAGGGACAUGGUAGCCUGUCUCCGGGUGGGUGAACGUGUCUGCUGGAACUCAUUCGUGGACUGCUUGGUGACUAAAUGGUUUCAUCCGACCCGUCUUGA